AGUCUCAUAAUCUGAAGGUCGUGAG
rnacentral:piRNA from 6 species